rnacentral:lncRNA from 1 species
AGCACCUGUCUGUCGGCAACUGAAGUGACUGCCGGGGGAACGGGGGACGUAGGGCGCUGACAUUUUACCGACACGCAGAGCGCGCUUAGUGCUGUCAACAGCUGGGGGUCAGAAGACAAAUCCCUUUCUCAUUUUCCUGUCCGACCACAAGCACGACAGCUUUCAUGACCUGCUUUCCGCUACUCCUUCAGGCCGUGGCGGUGCCAGCACGUUUUGGCUAGAGCAGAUCCAGCGCCGCGGCGGGAGCGGGCCGGGCAGGGAGCGCUGCGGCACUGGCGGAGGUUGGACGGCGCGGAGGCGGCGGAGGAGGAGCGGGCGGCACAGCGAUAGCGCUGACGGGCAGCGGCAGCCGCCUUUGUCCCCUCCCCUCCCCGGCGCGCCCAGCCCAGCCGGCAGCGCGCAGGGGAGCGGGCCGGCCUGGGGAUUCCCUCCCCGCGCCGCCGAGGUCGCCAUCUUCACCCCCGAGCUCGCCUCGGACGCUGCCGGCCGGGCUCCCGGGGAGCCGCCGGGAGCCUGCGCCGCGCCCGCCCGCUGCAUGUGACCGGCGGGCGGCAGCGGCCUCCUCCGCGGAUCGCGGCUGCGUCCUCCUCCGCCCCCGGCGCGGCGGGAGGGGGCGCGGGGCGCCCGGCAGCGGGAGACGGAGGUGCCGGGGCGCGGCGGGCACACAAAGGAGCGGGCGCCGCCGUGGGCAGCGUUUUUCAUCGCUCUCUAGAAUUGGGGAUAUCUUCACUGAAUAACUUGCUGCUUAAAGAAAGUAACAGAAGUUGGGAAAUUCAGGUUCACGUAACGCUAGGGACCAAAGAAGCAUACGUAAUAUUUCUCUGGUGCUGGGAUCAACCUUCUGGAAGAAGACUCUACAAUAACUUUUUGCCUUCAAGUUCUUUGUCCUGGGACUGA